rnacentral:misc_RNA from 1 species
CGUCGCUCGGAUGAGGGUAGGUGAGGGCGGCGAUAGGCCUUUACAUUUAUAUUCGGUGUUUGCAUACAUAUUCUGGACUUCCUCAAGCUAUCGUGUGGCCGGAUGAGCUACUGGACGUUGACAGCCCAGCGGAAGUGGACAGCCACAGCAAGCUCAUCAUCUCAGACGUCGCUGUCAGUGGAGAUUCUGUCAGCCUCAGCAGGCGUUCUGGGAUGAAGUGGAGCUUCUGACAGGCAUGGAACCUGAAGCGUUCCGGGGCAAGGCCCUGGGUAACCUGGAGAGGCUGAAGGAGCUCAUCUGCAAUGAACAUCGGUGCCCGCAUGAUCGUGCCAUUUGGCAUCUGGCAUUCCUGCUGGGGGAAGACCUCGACGUCCUCUUGGCUGGGAGAAACGUCGGCAUCAGGAUGGUGGACGCCGGCGUCAUCGUAUCGGACGAAGCCCAGCUGAUCCCUGAAGCCAACGGUGACGUGAAACUGGUCCUGUGGGUUCUGGCCCACAUGGUCUUUGCCGCCAAAUUCCCUUCAGGGUAUGGGCGGCGGCUGGGUUCCGUCCUGUACAACAAAGUUUGCGGCUUCCGCAUGCAGGUCACAAAGGUCACGGAGCGUGUGCUUCAUAAGAUCUACAAGUAGUGAGACGUUAGCGACGGCCGCUGACCGGCAAUGAAGGAGGCGGGGAGGGGGGUCGGUUGAUUUUUUUUUUUGCCCACUGCGAGUGACCCAGGACAGGUGAGAGGCAGGUUCAUCGCCAUGGCAGAUUGUGUGGUCCGCUGACAGGAGUACAGCUGUAAUACACGACCGUUUUCCACUCCUGUGUCU